CGCCAGACUCCUACGGGAGGCAGCAGUGGGGAAUAUUGCACAAUGGGGGAAACCCUGAUGCAGCGACGCCGCGUGAGUGAGGAAGUAUUUCGGUAUGUAAAGCUCUAUCAGCAGGGAAGAAAAUGACGGUACCUGACUAAGAAGCCCCGGCUAACUACGUGCCAGCAGCCGCGGUAAUACGUAGGGGGCAAGCGUUAUCCGGAUUUACUGGGUGUAAAGGGAGCGUAGACGGCAUGGCAAGUCAGAUGUGAAAGCCCGGGGCUCAACCCCGGGACUGCAUUUGAAACUGUCAGGCUGGAGUGCAGGAGAGGUAAGUGGAAUUCCUAGUGUAGCGGUGAAAUGCGUAGAUAUUAGGAGGAACACCAGUGGCGAAGGCGGCUUACUGGACUGUAACUGACGUUGAGGCUCGAAAGCGUGGGGAGCAAACAGGAUUAGAUACCCCUGUAA
rnacentral:rRNA from 1 species